GAUGAACGCUGGCGGCGUGCCUAAUACAUGCAAGUCGAACGCAUAGCGAAAGGUGCUUGCACCUUUCAGGUGAGCGGCGAACGGGUGAGUAACACGGGGACCACCUGCCUCAAGGCUGGGGAUCACAUUUGGAAACAGAUGAUAAUACAGAAUAAAACUUAGUGUCGGAUGACACAGAGUUAAAUGGCGCUUGGGAGUCACCUAGAGAUGGAUCCGCGGUGCAUUAGUUAGUUGGUGGGGUAAAGGCCUACCAAGACAAUGAUGCAUAGCCGAGUUGAGAGACUGAUCGGCCACAUGGGGACUGAGACACGGCCCAAACGCCUACGGGAGGCCGCAGUAGGGAAUGUUCCACAAUGGGCGAAAGCCUGAUGGAGCAACGCCGCGUGUGUGAUGAAGGCUUUCGGGUCGUAAAGCACUGUUGUAUGGGAAGAACAGCUAGAAUAGGAAAUGAUUUGAGUUUGACGGUACCAGACCAGAAAGGGACGGCUAACUACGUG
rnacentral:rRNA from 1 species